rnacentral:rRNA from 2 species
UACGUAUGGUGCAAGCGUUAUCCGGAUUUACUGGGUGUAAAGGGAGCGUAGACGGAGAGGCAAGUCUGAUGUGAAAACCCGGGGCUCAACCCCGGGACUGCAUUGGAAACUGUUUUUCUAGAGUGUCGGAGAGGUAAGUGGAAUUCCUAGUGUAGCGGUGAAAUGCGUAGAUAUUAGGAGGAACACCAGUGGCGAAGGCGGCUUACUGGACGAUGACUGACGUUGAGGCUCGAAAGCGUGGGGAGCAAACAGG